AUUGAACGCUGGCGGCAUGCCUUACACAUGCAAGUCGAACGGCAGCAUGGAGAGCUUGCUCUCUGAUGGCGAGUGGCGAACGGGUGAGUAAAGCAUCGGAACGUACCGUGUAGUGGGGGAUAACGUAGCGAAAGUUACGCUAAUACCGCAUACGCACUGAGGUGGAAAGCAGGGGAUCGCAAGACCUUGCGCUAUACGAGCGGCCGAUGUCAGAUUAGCUAGUUGGUAGGGUAAAGGCCUACAAAGGCGACGAUCUGUAGCGGGUCUGAGAGGAUGAACCGCCACACUGGGACUGAGACACGGCCCAGACUCCUACGGGAGGCAGCAGUGGGGAAUUUUGGACAAUGGGGGCAACCCUGAUCCAGCCAUGCCGCGUGAGUGAAGAAGGCCUUCGGGUUGUAAAGCUCUUUCGGCCGGGAAGAAAUCGCACAGGCUAAUACUCUGUGUGGAUGACGGUACCGGCAUAAGAAGCACCGGCUAACUACGUGCCAGCAGCCGCGGUAA
rnacentral:rRNA from 1 species